rnacentral:rRNA from 1 species
GAUGAACGCUAGCGGGAGGCCUAACACAUGCAAGCCGAGCGGUAUUGUUUCUUCGGAAAUGAGAGAGCGGCGUACGGGUGCGGAACACGUGUGCAACCUGCCUUUAUCUGGGGGAUAGCCUUUCGAAAGGAAGAUUAAUACUCCAUAAUAUAUUGAACGGCAUCGUUUAAUAUUGAAAGCUCCGGCGGAUAGAGAUGGGCACGCGCAAGAUUAGCUAGUUGGUGAGGUAACGGCUCACCAAGGCGAUGAUCUUUAGGGGGCCUGAGAGGGUGAUCCCCCACACUGGUACUGAGACACGGACCAGACUCCUACGGGAGGCAGCAGUGAGGAAUAUUGGUCAAUGGGUGCAAGCCUGAACCAGCCAUCCCGCGUGAAGGACGACUGCCCUAUGGGUUGUAAACUUCUUUUGUAUAGGGAUAAACCUACCCUCGUGAGGGUAGCUGAAGGUACUAUACGAAUAAGCACCGGCUAACUCCGUGCCAGCAGCCGCGGUAAUACGGAGGGUGCAAGCGUUAUCCGGAUUUAUUGGAUUUAAAGGGUCCGUAGGCGGACUUAUAAGUCAGUGGUGAAAGCCUGUCGCUCAACGAUAGAACUGCCAUUGAUACUGUAAGUCUUGAGUAUAUUUGAGGUAGCUGGAAUAAGUAGUGUAGCGGUGAAAUGCAUAGAUAUUACUUAGAACACCAAUUGCGAAGGCAGGUUACCAAGAUAUAACUGACGCUGAGGGACGAAAGCGUGGGGAGCGAACAGGAUUAGAUACCCUGGUAGUCCACGCCGUAAACGAUGCUAACUCGUUUUUGGGCUUUAGGGUUCAGAGACCAAGCGAAAGUGAUAAGUUAGCCACCUGGGGAGUACGCUCGCAAGAGUGAAACUCAAAGGGAUUGACGGGGGCCCGCACAAGCGGUGGAUUAUGUGGUUUAAUUCGAUGAUACGCGAGGAACCUUACCAAGACUUAAAUGGGAAUUGACAGCUUUAGAAAUAGAGCUUUCUUCGGACAAUUUUCAAGGUGCUGCAUGGUUGUCGUCAGCUCGUGCCGUGAGGUGUUAGGUUAAGUCCUGCAACGAGCGCAACCCCUGUCACUAGUUGCCAUCAUUCAGUUGGGGACUCUAGUGAGACUGCCCACGCAAGUAGAGAGGAAGGUGGGGAUGACGUCAAAUCAUCACGGCCCUUACGUCUUGGGCCACACACGUAAUACGAUGGCCGGUACAGAGGGCAGCUACACAGCGAUGUGAUGCAAAUCUCGAAAGCCGGCCUCAGUUCGGAUUGGAGUCUGCAACUCGACUCUAUGAAGCUGGAAUCGCUAGUAAUCGCGCAUCAGCCAUGGCGCGGUGAAUACGUUCCCGGGCCU